GCCAUGAUUUAGGCUACUUGAAUACUCUCCAUUGAAGGAGAUACCAUGUGGGAGGAAAGUGUCACGUGACAAAUUCACUCAAUGGCGGAGGAUUAAACAGACGGACUAUCGAAGGGAGUCUUGGGGUACUGAACGGAACCUUCCCGACACCUGACCUGGGUAGGAUAAAGCUGCCGGUAAAAGGGGUGUCCUCGCCGACCGCCAUUCAUUUAUGACGUGCCGGUGGACUAGUGAAUAGACCUCUGUGGGUGCAAGAG